GGGAAUGGACCAGAAGAACUUGGUGAGGACUACCUUCUGCCUGAAGAUGUCCCAGUAUCAUGUUAACAGCGAAUCCACAGGCUCCCCAAUCGCUCCUGAGUAACAGGCUGGAAGAAAUUUGCUGGAGGGCAGAACCUACUCUGUUUGUGAGCAGAGGACCCAAGACCAAUACAGGGGCAGAAGAGUCAAUGAGCGCUCUGAGCGCUCUUCAGCAGUGCUUUCAGAUACAGCACAUGUCAGAGGAGAGACCAUGGCGCUGAAGAAAGGCUGGUACGGAGUGAAGGCACAGAAGCCUUCCUCUACGGACCCCUUUUGCCAGGAC